rnacentral:rRNA from 1 species
AUGAGUUGUGUGACGUCAGUCAGGUAUGCCGUGAGAAUGAACGGGACUAUCCUCCAGUCCUUUUCGCCUUCUCGGGGCCUGCGUCAAGGUGACCCGUAUUCUCCUUACCUAUUCCUGCUCGUUGCCGAUGGUCUCUCUACUCUGCUACAAUCGGAGAUCAACACUGGUCAUAUUCAGGAGUUCAAGAUCUGCAGAGGGGCGCCUGGCAUUUCUCACUUACUAUUCGCGGAUGAUAGCCUGUUAUUCUUUAAGGCGAAUCAGGACCAAGCCUCGAGAAUUAAGAAUGUACUAACGAGGUAUGAAAAGGCUACGGGCCAACUGUUAAGUCCUAGUAAAUGCUCUAUCAUGCUUGGCAAAUCCUGUAGUCAGGAGGAAGGAAAGAGAGUGGCACAAAUCCUGGGUGUUCAGAAAAUUGAUUUUGAAGAAAAGUAUCUAGGACUUCCAGUCCCUGAAGGAAGAAUGAAGAAUGGUAAAUUUCAGCCCAUUAAAGAGCGUUCAUUGAAGAGAUGUACGGAUUGGUGUGAGAGAUAUUUAUCUAGUGCGGCUAAGGAGAGCCUCAUAAAAUCGGUACUCCAGGCACUAUCUACCUAUGCCAUGAGUGUGUUCAAAUUUUCUGCAGGCUUAUGUGAGGAGCUGUCACAGAUCACCAGAAACUUUUGA